CUGCACCCAGUGCGGGGCCUAAGAUGUCUGCCUGAACAAAUAUUUACCUCUGAGCUCAUCACCAAUUUUGUUGAAGUUGACCUUUAACUUUGCAGCUAGUUUCAUGUGUCUACAUUUAAACCCAGGAAGCAGCAGUGCUUGGUCCAGCGCAUGACAAGAAAAGGGAUGUAAACUCUUACUCAGGCUGUGAUUCGGCUAGUGCCAUGCUUGCUAACAGUGGACAUGAGAAUUGCUCUGUUUGAUGUCAACAAUUUUCCACAGCUGCUUGUAAUUCCAAGUAAAUCUCCCACCUCCAAGAAGAAACUGCUCCAGUCAUCAGUUACUGCUACUCUCUCCCAGCUCAUUAACAAUCAGUCGGUCUUGAUAAAUUGGAGUGGAAAUACAGAGAGAACUGACAAGCUGGGUGACAAAAUUGACAUGGCUAUUGAUGAAAUCAAGAAGGUUGAUGAAGAGGUUUGUGUUCUUGAGACACCAGCUGGUCAUGCCCCGGCUGAUGAAGAAUGUUAGAAACAAGCCAAAAAUUGUGUAUGUCAAAUCCAAUGGCCUGUUCUUCAAGGAGGACAUUUCUAAGAUGUGGUGGAGUGGUGGAAGCUCAGGAGAAAGGGCAGACCGCUCUUUCUGUUGGAGGGAAAACGACUUCUGGGAUGAGCCGAAGUUCUUUUGUGUUUAUGUCUCAUAUAAAUAUAAAUGAAACUCAUAAAUCUCUCCGGUAACCGAACCGUUAUUAAAUGGGUCUAUCUCAGCAUUAUUUGCUUCACAUGCAGUGUCGUUUGCUGAAUGUCUAAUAAGUGUUUAAAUUAAUUUGCUAAUGCCAGAUGCUGUAGCCUGGGCUUGCUGGCAAAUUGCACUCAGUUCUUAUUGUGUGUUAUUUGUUUCUUAUCUAGCACUUGUUCUCUUUAUAUGUCUUGAUCAUUAGUUUCACUUAAUGCCAGGGAGUUGAGAGAUUCUGUUAAAACAAAAGCUUUGUUUCUAUAUAUUAAACAUUUUAAGACC